GACGAACGCUGGCGGCGUGCCUAAUACAUGCAAGUUGAGCGAUGAAGAUUGGUGCUUGCACCAAUUUGAAGAGCAGCGAACGGGUGAGUAACGCGUGGGGAAUCUGCCUUUGAGCGGGGGACAACAUUUGGAAACGAAUGCUAAUACCGCAUAACAACUUUAAACAUAAGUUUUAAGUUUGAAAGAUGCAAUUGCAUCACUCAAAGAUGAUCCCGCGUUGUAUUAGCUAGUUGGUGAGGUAAAGGCUCACCAAGGCGAUGAUACAUAGCCGACCUGAGAGGGUGAGCGGCCACAUUGGGACUGAGACACGGCCCAAACUCCUACGGGAGGCAGCAGUAGGGAAUCUUCGGCAAUGGACGAAAGUCUGACCGAGCAACGCCGCGUGAGGGAAGAAGGUUUUCGGAUCGUAAAACUCUGUUGGUAGAGAAGAACGUUGGUGAGAGUGGAAAGCUCAUCAAGUGACGGUAACUACCCAGAAAGGGACGGCUAACUACGUG
rnacentral:rRNA from 1 species